GAUCAUGGCUCAGAUUGAACGCUGGCGGCAUGCCUUACACAUGCAAGUCGAACGGUAACAGGUCUUUCGGGAUGCUGACGAGUGGCGAACGGGUGAGUAAUACAUCGGAACGUGCCUAGUAGUGGGGGGAGUAACUACUCGAAAGAGUGGCUAAUACCGCAUGAGAUCUAUGGAUGAAAGCAGGGGACCUUCGGGCCUUGUGCUACUAGAGCGGCCGAUGGCAGAUUAGGUAGUUGGG
rnacentral:rRNA from 1 species